rnacentral:lncRNA from 1 species
GAGGAAUAACACCUCAAGUCCUGUUCCAGGAAGGUCCAGGAACCCCAAACGUCCCGUUGCCUUCUCGCCUCCUCUGCUGAGAGGGGCAGAGCGGCUCACGUUGACAGACUGAAGGGUAAAUGUGCAAACGUUUAUGGUUAUGUUAUGAACAUAAUCACCUAUGUAUCUAAGGACAAAUUGCUCAUCUUCUUCAAACCCCAGAUUUAUUCUGAGCUCAUAAUAUGUCAUGGCACCAAAAAGAGGACUUUAAUAUUGGCCUUUCCCUGAACGACUUUACAGUCU